rnacentral:lncRNA from 1 species
AAGUACAGCAAUGGGGUUUGGGCGGAAGGUUGGAGAGGGUGGGGUUAGCAGGUGGCUCCUCCUGCUCGCCGGGGUGCUGCUGGCGGUGGCUGUCACGGUGACGGCCGGUGACGCUGCGGAGGAGGGAGCCACCGCUGGCGACUACAGCCUCCACGGUAGCCAAGCUAUGUGCGAGCUCAAGUGCCAGCAUCAUCAUGAUCCAGUGAACAAGAAGCGGUGCGUCGACUUCUGCAUACGGUGGCAGCUAGCGCUACCGUUUGACGCUGCGGAGGAGGGAGCCACCGCUGGCGACGACAGCCUCCACGGUAGCCGAGCUAUGUGCGAGCUCAAGUGCCAGCAUCAUCAUGAUCCAGUGAACAAGAAGCGGUGCGUUGACUUCUGCAUACGGUGGCAGCUAGCGCUACCAUUUGAUGCUGCGGAGGAGGGAGCCACCGCGGGCGAGGACAGCCUCCACGGUAGCCGAGCUAUGUGCGAGCUCAAGUGCCAGCAUCAUCAUGAUCCAGUGAACAAGAAGCGGUGCGUCGACUUCUGCAUACGGUGGCAGCUAGCGCUACCGUUUGACGCGGUGGAGGAGGGAGCCACCGCGGGCAAAGACAGCCUCCACGGUAGCCGAGCUAUGUGCGAGCUCAAGUGCCAGCAUCAUCAUGAUCCAGUGAACAAGAAGCGGUGCGUCGACUUCUGCAUACGGUGGCAGCUAGCACUACUGUUUGACGUUAAGGAGGAGGAUGGAGCUAGCGCCACCGACACCAUCACCGCUGGUGAGGUCGGCGUCUGCGCCAACCGGCGUAUAUGCAAGAUCAAGUGCCAGCACCAUCACGACCAGGUGAACAGCAACCGGUGCACCGACUUCUGCAUAGGGUACCAAGUGGCACUAGAUGCCAUUAUGGAGAAUGGAG